GAUGAAGAACGCAGCGAAAUGCGAUAAGUAAUGUGAAUUGCAGAAUUCCGUGAAUCAUCGAAUCUUUGAACGCACAUUACGCCCCCUGGUAUUCCGGGGGGCAUGCCUGUCCGAGCGUCAUUGCAACCCUCAAGCGCGGCUUGUGUGUUGGGCUUCGUCCCCCCGUGGACGUGCCCGAAAGGCAGUGGCGGCGUCCCGAAUGGUGCCCGAGCGUAUGGGAACUCUCUUCCGCUCGAACCGGCCCAUUCGGCGCUGGUCGAACCCCAAUUUUUUUUUACCGGUUGACCUCGGAUCAGGUAGGGAUACCCGCUGAACUUAAGCAUAUCAAUAAGCGGAGGA
rnacentral:misc_RNA from 1 species